rnacentral:rRNA from 1 species
GACGAACGCUGGCGGCGUGCUUAACACAUGCAAGUCGAACGGUGAAGCGCUUUCCUUUUGGUUGGUGUGGAUGAGUGGCGAACGGGUGAGUAACACGUGAGUAACCUGCCCCCUUCUUCUGGAUAACCGCAUGAAAGUGUGGCUAAUACGGGAUAUUCUGCGCCUGCUGCAUGGUGGGUGUGGGAAAGAUUGUGCCUUUGGGUGUUUUCGGUGGGGGAUGGGCUCGCGGCCUAUCAGCUUGUUGGUGGGGUGAUGGCCUACCAAGGCGGUGACGGGUAGCCGGCCUGAGAGGGUGGACGGUCACACUGGGACUGAGACACGGCCCAGACUCCUACGGGAGGCAGCAGUGGGGAAUAUUGCACAAUGGGCGCAAGCCUGAUGCAGCGACGCCGCGUGAGGGAUGGAGGCCUUCGGGUUGUGAACCUCUUUCGCCAGUGAAGCAGGCCUGCUCCUUGUGGGUGGGUUGACGGUAGCUGGAUAAGAAGCGCCGGCUAACUACGUG